GAUUCCAAGGAUUGAGAAGUUUUGCAGUGGUCAACUGGUAUAGACAUCCCAUUACCACUACUUCCUUCAUUGGACUGCAAGGUAUUUCUGUUUGGAAAAGUAAUGGAGUCCAGUCAACUUCAUUGAUCUCCAAGGACUGUCAAAAUUAUAAAACUUGCUGUGGAGCUCUGACAUGCCAGAAGCCGCUAGAAAAAGAAGUUUGACAUUCAGAAACUUAUCAAGAGGUUCUACUCUUUGGAUAGAGACCAAAAUAAUACUUUGAAUGAUAUGCAGUACAAGACUCCCAAGAUUCUGGGCAGUGGCAGGGAGGUGCAGCUUCUAGUCUGCCACAUGAUCACAAUGAAAGCCUGACAGGUUUCUUCGGAAAAGUGGCCAUCCAUGGAAUGAAUGAAAUGUUCUCUUUCUAUUCCACCUCAAGAGACCAUCAAAAAACAAUGGCUCAUAAUGCUUUUAGAACAGAAACUGAAGUUGUGUACUGUGCAUGUAUAAUCCUACACAAGAGGAAGGCAAUGUUUAAAGCUGCUGUCACCUCUUAGGGAAAAAACUGGAAUUCUGAGUCAAGGGAUUGCAGUGGCAAAGCUAGGCUAGGUCUUGGAGGCUGGUGUAAGGCGAUGCGGGUGAAGGCAGGAGGCUGAUGGAAAGACUGGGGGGAAGAAAAGCCGAAAUGGAUUCACGGUGCCUUGGAUGAAGGACGAGAGGGGAACUGCAAGCUCCUUCAACUGGUUCUGUCCGGUGAGAAGUGAUCAAGCUUGGGCUGACAAGAGGCUCAGGGAGCCCUCACGUUCUUUCGCUUUUUUACCUGCCAAUCAAACUGCUACAAGACAACACCCUGAUCUGGCAUGGACAU
rnacentral:sRNA from 1 species